UCUUAAAAACAAUCCCCUGAAUCAAAAGAAACCACCCUUACGGGUAACAAAACAAGGCAACUCUCCCAGAGAUUACUGGCAAAUUGAUUUUUCUGAACUACCCAAACAAAAUGGAUAUAGGUAUUUGUUAGUUGAACACAGAAGUUGUGG